UACGGGGGGGGCAAGCGUUGUUCGGAAUUACUGGGCGUAAAGGGCUCGUAGGCGGCCAACUAAGUCGGACGUGAAAUCCCCAGGCUCAACCUGGGAACUGCGUCCGAUACUGGAUGGCUUGAAUCCGGGAGAGGGAUGCAGAAUUCCAGGUGUAGCGGUGAAAUGCGUAGAUAUCUGGAGGAAUACCGGUGGCGAAGGCGGCAUCCUGGACCGGCAUUGACGCUGAGGCGCGAAAGCGUGGGUAGCAAACAGG
rnacentral:rRNA from 1 species